rnacentral:rRNA from 1 species
UACGGAGGGUGCAAGCGUUAUCCGGAUUCACUGGGUUUAAAGGGUGCGUAGGUGGGUUGGUAAGUCAGUGGUGAAAUCCCCGAGCUUAACUUGGGAACUGCCAUUGAUACUAUCAGUCUUGAAUAUUGUGGAGGUUAGCGGGAUAUGUCAUGUAGCGGUGAAAUGCUUAGAUAUGACAUAGAACACCAAUUGCGAAGGCAGCUGGCUACGCAUAUAUUGACACUGAGGCACGAAAGCGUGGGGAUCAAACAGG